rnacentral:tRNA from 1 species
GCAGCGAUAGUCUAGUGGUAUGAUAGAACCUUCCCAAGGUUCUGGUCCGGGUUCGAUUCCCGGUCGCUGCA